CUUAGUGAUCCGGUGGUUCUGUAUGGAAGGGCCAUCGCUCAACGGAUAAAAGGUACUCCGGGGAUAACAGGCUGAUACCGCCCAAGAGUUCAUAUCGACGGCGGUGUUUGGCACCUCGAUGUCGGCUCAUCACAUCCUGGGGCUGAAGCCGGUCCCAAGGGUAUGGCUGUUCGCCAUUUAAAGUGGUACGCGAGCUGGGUUUAGAACGUCGUGAGACAGUUCGGUCCCUAUCUGCCGUGGACGUUUGAGAUUUGAGAGGGGCUGCUCCUAGUACGAGAGGACCGGAGUGGACGAACCUCUGGUGUUCCGGUUGUCACGCCAGUGGCAUUGCCGGGUAGCUAUGUUCGGAAAAGAUAACCGCUGAAAGCAUCUAAGCGGGAAACUUGCCUCAAGAUGAGAUCUCACUGGGAACUUGAUUCCCCUGAAGGGCCGUCGAAGACUACGACGUUGAUAGGCUGGGUGUGUAAGCGUUGUGAGGCGUUGAGCUAACCAGUACUAAUUGCCCGUGAGGCUUGACCAU
rnacentral:rRNA from 1 species